UCUUCAGAGGAAAUACACGCGAUUAAAGGCGCGACGCCAUUUUGCGUUGCUAUCGCCGCCAUCUUGGGAACGAUUUGAGGACUGCAAAUCACUCUACAAAGUCGUUAUUCUAUGAGGAUCCAUUCACUCGCCUUUUAAAUCACGUGGAUUUUGAUUUGAAAAUCUGAUGUAAGGAAAUUCGCUAUUACAUUUAAAUUAAAAAUUGUCAGCCGAGCGUCUUGUGCUUCUUGAAAAUGCAACAGGAAACGAAACGAGUAAAACCGUCAACGGAGUUAAGGAUCUCUGAAAUCGCUUCUUCUAUUAGAUCAAUUUCCGACACUUUACAAUCCAUUGGGGAAACGCAUAAUAACCUACUGAAGGCAAAUAAAGCUGUCGUUGGAUAUUUGAUGGCUACUAAAAAGCCUGAAACUAAUUUAAAUGUCUCAAUCACAAAAGGAAGUUGACAUCAAACCCAACAGCCUUCUCUGAAGUUCUGGACGAUUCAUAAUUUUCUUGUACGUGGAAUACCACAAGCAAAAUAUUGUAUAUCACUCAUGUGUCUUUUUAUUAAUAAAAUAGCAUAAAUAAUA